rnacentral:rRNA from 1 species
CGAACGGGUGAGUAACGCGUGAGGAACCUGCCUCAAAGAGGGGGACAACAGUUGGAAACGACUGCUAAUACCGCAUAAGCCCACGGCUCGGCAUCGAGCAGAGGGAAAAGGAGCAAUCCGCUUUGAGAUGGCCUCGCGUCCGAUUAGCUAGUUGGUGAGGUAACGGCCCACCAGGGCGACGAUCGGUAGCCGGACUGGGAGGUUGAACGGCCACAUUGGGACUGAGACACGGCCCAG